UGUUGUUUUCCACCCUCAUGCUCACCACGUGCCUAAAAAGAUGUUCAAACGAAAUUUGUCUAUGCUUGUAUUUGUUUUUGUCUUCUAACCCUUUUGCCCACCAUGUGUUUGACGAAAUGUUCAAAUAAAACUAGGCAAUGCUCACGUGUUUGACAUCUGUUUAUAAGCUUUGGUAGUGCCCAGAUUGAAUUUAAUUGUUUUUUUUAAUUACAUGUUCAUGAGUUGUUUUGAGGUGCAAUUUUAGAUGAUAAAACAAAACCCAUUCGCGUUGUCCAUUAUGUAUUUAUUUCUGAUUGUCUAGGUUCAUAGGUUAAAAAAAUAAGAGAGGAGUAAUGAAUAAAUAUCAAUGACAUUUGUGAUAUUUUGGGUUUUCCAGAAAUUUUGAUAGUAAAAGAGGCAAGAGUCAUAUCAUGUUUGGGGUGCAAAGCAACAGGGGAUUGUGUAUAGAUCUUUGAAAGAUAUAUUGGGUGAAGGAGAUAAAGAAAAUGUAGGAGUUGGGACAUUUGUUCAAGUCAUUGUCUUGGAGAUAUACAAGGAAGAGAUAUAUGAUCUGUUGUCAACUAAUAAUGGUAAAGGACUAAGUAUUGGGUGGUCUAAGGGAAGUGCUUCCAAGAUGUAUGUUCCCAAUGUUCCCAAAGCAACUGAGACUGAGCCUAAGGCAUCAGAGCAGCUUCAACAAAAGCAAUCUCAGCAGCCUAUGCAACAACAACCUAUGCAGCAGCAGCAGCAACAACAAUCUAUACAACAAUAGCAACCUAUGCAACAGCAACAACAGCAGCCUACUUUGAUACAGCUGCAAUCUAUUCAAACAGAGAAAGUCAAGGCAUCCAAGGCUGCUCACCUCAUGUAUACGACUAUCAUGUAUAAUAAGUCAUAGAAUUGUAAAGAUAGAAAACACCAAAAUGGUUAAAUAGUUGGUUAGAGAAAUUGUUAGAGAGUUGGUUACAACCAACUCAGUUAUACAAAGUGUAUAUAUAUAGCAGCAUGUACUCUACUUACCUUUUCAAUGAAGUUUAUCUCUGUGGGGGCUAAAUAA